ACAGUUUCAUCUUCAUUUUCAACAAAAACAGAGAGAACUCUCUCAACACCCUCUCCCCAGGAACCGACCAAAGGCUCCGGCGCACCUCCGCCGUAGCUCCGCCGUAGCUCCGCCGUAGCUCCGCCGUAGACGGCAGCCGGAGGUGCAAAACAGAACCUUUCUUAGCCCCGCUUGAAGCCCACCCCCUUUAGAACUCGGAUUCAAAGCCGAAUCCUUUAAAAAACGAGUCAAAACCGAAAAGAAGAGAAGGAAUCCGUUCGCCUUCCCUCCUCUCCGGCGCGGCGCAGGUACAUGGCAAGGUCAACUUGCCAUUUCGGUGCAAGGCCGGCUGGUGGUGGCAGGCCUCGGGCGUGGUGCGCGCUGAAGGCUCACAUGGGUAGCAGCAGGGGAACGGCGCCAGAAACCCUAGGGUUUCUGGCAUUCUGAAAAUGUCAAACGUUUUGGGCCGUUUGGGCUUUUGAAUUUUGGGUUGUGGGUCUGUUAUUGUAAUUGGGUCAGUAAAUUUUUUUGGGUUGGUAGGUUCGGGCUAGGGUUUAUAUGGGCCCGGGCAAAAUAAGGUCUGUACAAUACCCAAAAAAAAUCACUUAGUAUUUAAAUAUACAUUUCUGCUAUUUUCAAUUAUAAACUUAUAGUAUAAGUACUAUUAUUUGUUAUCGUACGUAUAAAAGAUGUUCAUUUCCAA